UACGUAGGGCGCAAGCGUUGUCCGGAAUUAUUGGGCGUAAAGAGCUCGUAGGCGGUCUGUCGCGUCUGUUGUGAAAACUCGAGGCUCAACCUCGGGCUUGCAGUGGAUACGGGCAGACUAGAGUGCGGUAGGGGAGACUGGAAUUCCUGGUGUAGCGGUGGAAUGCGCAGAUAUCAGGAGGAACACCGAUGGCGAAGGCAGGUCUCUGG
rnacentral:rRNA from 1 species